ACUUUGGUUGUUCUAUGCAGUAUAUAUUGAUGUUGAGUUGCAUCAUCUUUAAGUCCGUCUUUUUCUCUUUAAAAUAGAUUAUCAUUUACCUAUUUCUCGUGCAGUUUUUUGAACAUGGAAUGGCAUCUCAGAGGAGAGAAAUGGCUAGCAUACUCUUUGGGCAUGUACUAACGCUGAGCCUUCAAAUGUAUAGUUGUCAUUUGAUACAAAAGAUAUACCGAAGUGAAUCUAGAAAUGCUCAUAUGUGCUCAAGUGUUAUCUGCUAGCAUUUAUCUUUUGUUUUGGUUCUUAUUCUAAUAUACUAAAUGUAGCACCAACCAGUGGGCUCUCUGGGCUUAUUAUCAGCUUCUCAAUAACUUGAGUUAUAUUGAGAUAAAAGUUGUGAUAUGAUUCACUCUACAGGAAAUUAAAGUUGUUGACAUGUACCAGAAGAUUAAAAUGGUUGAGUAGCUUGAUGGUCAUGUAAUAUGUUGUGUACGAGAUCAGAAUGGGAAUCAUGUCAUUUAGAAAUGUAUUGAAUGUGUACCAGAAGAUCACAUUCAAUUUAUCGUCUCAGCACUUUUUGGACAAGUUAUUACUCUCUCUACCCAUUCAUAUGGCUGUCGAGUAAUACCGGUAGUUGAGUAAUGUGUCUUAUUCUUAUCCAUUUGUCGUAAUAAUUUUGUUUGAUAUUUACUAAUAUUCCUUGAUCAUUCGGAGAGUAUUGGUACACUGUAGCAAUCCAGAAACUCAAAGCAAACUGAUGGAAGAAAUCCUGGAAUCUGUAAGCAUGUUGGGAUAAGAUCAAUAUGGUAAUUAUGUUGUUCAGGUAUGAAAUACUCGCUGCUAAGCAUGUUUUUAAACAAGGUAAAAUUUUGUCAACAGAGCUGCCACCGCUUCCUUCAGCUGACGUAAGAAAAUUGUCAUAGACAUAUAUUAAAUAUUUAAUAUUCCACAUUUCAUUUCAUUGAUUGAUGGUUGUCCUGCUUUUUUCUUAUUUAUAAGAAGAUACUUUAUCUCAUCGCUUUAGAGCCAAUAAUGAGGUCUAUACUCUUUCUACUCUAAAGUGCAAUUCCACAAGUGGAGUUUGGAGAAGGUAACAUGUACGCAGACGUUACCUCUACCUCGAAAAGAUUAUGGAGCUGAAACAACAGCUGAUGUUCCAAGAUCUUUGGAAAGUUUAAUAUCAAUAACUAUGGAUGAGUUGUAUGAUGAACUUGAAUCUUUUCUUGAAAAUCUAAAACCCCCAUUUUACUUUCUUUGAUUUUGCUUAUUGGAUUAUUGAUAUGGCAUUAGAAAUUGGAGGUAUCAAGAAACUGUUAUAAAGUUGUUUGUCUUGGUACAUUGCUUUUAUUUUACAUCUUCAGUUGUUCUA